GAUGAACGCUGGCGGCGUGCCUAACACAUGCAAGUCGAGCGAUUCUCUUCGGAGAAGAGCGGCGGACGGGUGAGUAACGCGUGGGUAACCUGCCCUGUACACACGGAUAACAUACCGAAAGGUAUGCUAAUACGAGAUAAUAUGCUUUUAUCGCAUGGUAGAAGUAUCAAAGCUUUUGCGGUACAGGAUGGACCCGCGUCUGAUUAGCUAGUUGGUAAGGUAACGGCUUACCAAGGCGACGACCAGUAGCCGAGCUGAGAGGGUGAUCGGCCACAUUGGAACUGAGACACGGUCCAAACUCCUACGGGAGGCAGCAGUGGGGAAUAUUGCACAAUGGGCGAAAGCCUGAUGCAGCAACGCCGCGUGAGCGAUGAAGGCCUUCGGGUUGUAAAGAUCUUUCAGUGGGGAAGAUAAUGACUGUACCCACAGAAGAAGCCCCGGCUAACUCCGUGCCAGCCGCCGCCGUAACAC
rnacentral:rRNA from 1 species